AGAGUUUGAUCAUGGCUCAGAGCGAACGUUAGCGGCGGGCUUAACACAUGCAAGUCGAGCGAGAGAGUGACUUCGGUCAUGAGUAAAGCGGCAGACGGGUGAGGAACACGUAGGUAAUUUCCGUUAGUGGGGGACAACGGUCCGAAAGGACCGCUAAUACCGCAUACGUUCUUGGGACUUUGGUCUUGGGAAAGGAAAGCUGGGCAACUGGCGCUAAAUGAGAAGCCUGCGUCGCAACAGCUAGUUGGUGGGGUAAUGGCCUACCAAGGCGAAGACGCGUAGCUGGUCUGAGAGGAUGAUCAGCCACACUGGAACUGAGACACGGUCCAGACUCCUACGGGAGGCAGCAGUGGGGAAUAUUGGACAAUGGGCGCAAGCCUGAUCCAGCCACGCCGCGUGAGUGAUGAAGGCCUUCGGGUCGUAAGGCUCUGUGGGGAGAGACGAACCGCUGGGGUAACCCUUCAGCAUGACGGUAUCUCCUUAGCAAGCACCGGCUAACUUCGUG
rnacentral:rRNA from 1 species